AGCGAACAUGUGAUUCACUGGUCCAGGUGUGCACCGUAAUGUUCUUGAUUUUAUUGUGAGGUUAAAUAUAGCAAUAGACGCCUCACGCAAUUACCUAUCUCCACAUGUACACAGGUAUGAAUUUUGAUAGUAGCCACGUUAAUUAGGUUCUUAGGAAAUUUAGCUUCAGUAAUUGAUUUGCUCUGUAUGCAGAUCAUCCUAUCAUCCAUAGAGAUAUCAAGUCUUCCAACAUUCUCCUUACAAAGAAUCUAGGAGCUAAAGUUGCCGACUUUGGUUUGGCUCUGCUAGCAGCUGACGGUGAAUCGGGAGAGACACAUGUAUUGACCCAAGUUAAAGGAACUGUUGGCUUUGUAGACCCAGAAUACAUAAAUACCUCACUAGUUUCGGAAAAGAGUGAUGUUUAUGUUGGAAAAAAAACUGAGUUAUGGGCCGACUUUGGCACGAGUUUUGAGUGGGACCUGGUUGUUCAAUUUGGAAGAUGAAAGUUGAUUUGUGUUCUCCUCCGUGAGUACAUCGAAAUCAUAUACUUACUUACCAAAGAUGAUGCUCGAGUGAGUGAGAAAUUGAGGCUCAAAGUGUGCCACUCAAAAGAGAGUUCAUGUGGGAAAAAUGAAUUUGUCCCACAUAGGAAAAAGAUGAGAAACUCCAAAGGUCAUUGCCAUUAAUGGUAGCCUAGCCUAUAAAUAGUGACUCAUUUUCCUCAUUUCAAUACACCAACGCAAAAGCUUUCAAGUUUAGAAUACAUUAAAAAUUCAUUUGCAUAGAGUUCUGUCUUUUCUGUAUUUCUGUCUUGGUGGUAGUGUAGUUCAGGCACUAGUUCAGUAAACCGGAGUGGUUUCUAUGGUGCUCGAAAGCUACUGGUUUUACCAUCGUAUCCUGAGAAACGGAUGCUCAUUUUAAACCUCAAGCACGGACGGGGAGGGGGCGAAUCUGUUUUAAGGAAACUGUGUGUAACACAGGCCUCGGUUUGAAAUUUCAUUUCCUGCAAUUUCAAUUGUUCAUUCUGUUAUUAUCCAAUUAGUUGUACGACUAUAACUUGCUGUUACAUAUAUCAUCUUACCGGACAAAAGGCAUAUACGGUAUUAAAAUCGAGAAUACCGGAUUCCUUAUUUUUCAUAAACUUAUCGGAUUUCAGAAAAGUUCGGUCGACCGAACUGGUGAAACUUAGGAUUUUUCCUACAAGCUUAAAACAGAUUCUCAGAAAGGAAAAAUUGGUUUCCUAUAUUGAUUAAUUCUGAACUGAUUAGUUUCUUAUAUUUGUUAUAUUGUGAAAACUAAUUUGUUGUUUGGUUCUUUCAGAAGACGAAAUGGCAAUCGGUUCCACCAACAUGGAUUCCAACAUGAAUGUGUCCCAAGCUGUAGGUACCCAAACUCAGGCUGUGGGUUUCUACUAUGGGUGCAGGGCCUAGUUCGGCUAUGGCUGCAGGGCCUAGCUCAGUUAUGGCUCAGAUUGUGGCUCAAGUGCCAAGUCGUGUUGUGAGCCAACAUGUGGCUAAUGUUCCGAUUAAUGUACCGGUUGACCAUGGGGAAAAGCCGAAAAAAUUCAAUGGCUUGAAUUUCAAGAGGUGGCAGCAGAAAAUGCUGUUCUAUCUGACCACCUUGAAUCUUGCGAGAUUCUUGAUUGAAAGUGCUCCAAAACUCCAAGAGUGUGAGGUGGAUGUUCAAGCAAUCAGUGCUGUUGAUGCUUGGAACCACUCGAACUUCUUAUGCUGGAAUUACGUCAUGAACAGUUUGGGAGAUUCGCUAUACAACGUGUAUAUCACCACGAAAAUUGCUAAGGAGUUGUGGGAGUCUUUGGACUGAAAAUAUAAGACCGAGGAUGUCGGGGCUAAGAAAUUUAUCGUCGACCGAUUCUUGGACUAUAAGAUGGUGGACUCUAAAACUGUAAUCAGUCAAGUGUAAGAACUCCAAGUGAUUCUUCACGAAAUUCAUGCCGAAGGGAUGAUUCUGAGUGAAACUUUCCAAUUGGCUGCAAUCAUUGAAAAAUUGCCUCCCGCGUGGAAAGAUUUCAAGAAUUAUUUGAAACACAAGCGAAAGGAAAUGAACAUUGAAAAACUAAUUGUUAGACUUCGAAUUGAAGAAGACAACAAGAGUUCCAAAAAGAAAUGAUUCAAUCCUGGUGCGGCUAAGGCCAAUAUUGUUGAACAUGGUUAAGGUAGUAAGAACUAUAAAACAAAGCUGGGCCAUCCGGUGGAAAAGGGAUCAAGCUGAGACCAAAAGGAGGCAUUCCUAAGAAGAAAUCUUAAGGGAAGUGCUUCAAUUGUGACAAAGUAGGCCACAAAUCUUUGGAGUGCAGAUUGUCAAAGAAGAAGAAAGAAGCAAAUGUGGUUGACUACAUGGCACAUGAUGUGUCGGAGAUGAGUCUCGCAGCAGUCAUUUCUAAAGUGAACAUGGUGGGUUCUAACCCAAAAAAAUGGUGGAUUGACACCGGAGCUACGAGACAUGUGUGCUUUGAUAAAGAGUUAUUUACUGCUUUUGAAGCAGUUGAGAAUGGAGAGAAGUUGUUCAUGGGAAAUUCAGUAACUUCUGAAAUCAAGGACCAAGGAAAAGUGGUUCUGAAGAUGACUUCGUGAAAAGAGCUGACUCUCAACAACGUGCUGUAUGUGCCGAAAAUCCGCAAGAACAUUGUGUCUAGGUUGCUUUUGAAUAAGCAUGGUUUUCGCAUUGUGUUUGAGUCAGACAAGGUCAUCUUGUCGAAAAGUGGAAUGUUUAUCGGAAAAUGUUAUGUUUCCGAUGGAAUGUUUAAACUCAAUGUAAUGGUUGUUAAACCAAAAAUGAAUAAUAAAGUGAAUGCUUCUAUUUACUUGCUUGAGUCUUCCAAUGUGUGGCAUGGUAGGCUAGGACACGUUAACUAUGAUACUUUACUUAGGCUAGUUAACUUGAAAUGCAUAACAGCAUUCCAUGUUGAUUCCAAACAUAAGUGUGAGACUUGUGUUGAAGCAAAAUUGACUAGGUCGUCCUUUAAGUCAAUUGAACGAAAUAUGGAAUCACUUGAUUUAAUUCACAGUGAUAUAUGUGAUUUAAAAUUUGUACAAACAAGAGGUGGCAACAAGUAUUUCAUUACUUUUGUCGACAAUAGCACGAAAUGCUGCUAUGUGUAUUUGCUAAAAAGUAAGGAUGAAGCGAUAGAGAAAUUUGUUCUCUAUAAGAAUGAAGUUGAAAAUCAACUUAACAAGAAAAUUAAGGUGUUAAGAAGCGAUCGAGGUGGUGAGUAUGAAGCACCGUUUGCUGAAUUAUGUGCACAACACGGAAUCAUAUAUGAAAUUACAGCACCGUAUUCACCACAACAAAAUGGUGUUGCUAAAAGGAAAAAUUGCACCUUAAAGGAGAUGAUGAAUACGAUGCUAGUAAGUUCUGGAUUACCUCAGAAUAUGUGGGGAGAUGCUGUGUUAUCAGCAAAUUACCUUUUGAAUAAGGUGCCCUGAAAGAAAAUGGAGAAGACCCCUUAUGAGUUAUGGAAAGGAAGAACGCCUUCCUAUAAAUACUUACGAGUGUGGGGGUGUCUUGCUAAAGUGGCUGUUCCAACACCAAAGAAGGUGAAGAUAGGCCCAAAAACUAUAGACUGCAUAUUCAUUAGAUAUACACAGAAACAGUUGUGCUUAUCGAUUUCUCGUGUAUGAAUCUAAAAUUCAAGAUAUACACAGAAACACGAUAAUGGAGUUGAGAAACGCUUCGUUCUUUGAACAUGUGUUUCCAUGCAGGUCCAAAGAAGAGGCAAGUUCUUCUAAACGGACGUACGAGACUAUGAUUGAACAUAGUCAGUACGAAGAACCAGAAGAGGAGGUUGAGAUUGAACCUAGACGUAGCAAAAGGGAAAGGACAGAAAAAUCUUAUGGUCCGAAUUUUCUGACCUAUAUGCUAGAAAGUGAACCUCAAAGCUAUCAAGAGGCUGUGAACUCCUUGAAAGGACCUCAAUUGAAAGAGGCCAUUAAAAGUGAAAUAGAUUCUAUCCUGCAAGAUCAUACAUGAGAGCUAGUGGAUCUUCCACCAGGAAGUAAACCACUAGGCUACAAGUGGAUUUUCAAACGAAAAAUGAAAGUAGAUAGAACUAUUGAAAUGUAUAAGGCCAGGUUGGUAAUAAAAGGUUACCGACAAUGGGAAGGCCUUGAUUACUUUGAUACAUAUUCUCCGGUAACGAGAGUAACAUCCAUUAGAAUGAUACUUGUGAUUGCUGCUUUGCGAAAUCUUGAAGUACAUCAAAUGGAUGUUAAGACUACCUUCUUGAACAGAGACUUAGAUGAAAAAAUCUAUAUGGAACAACCUGAAGGGUUUUUGUCGCUAGGGCAGGAAAAGAAGGUGUGUAAAUUGGUGAAGUCAUUGUAUGGCUUGAAACAAGCAUCAAAACAAUGGCAUGAGAGAUUUGGCAAUGUCAUGAUGUAGAGUGGAUUUAAGAUCAACGAGUGUGAUAAAUGUGUUUACGUUAAAGACACUGAAAAUGGCUAUGACAUUUUAUGUCUUUACGUUGAUGACAUGCUAAAUAACGGACGUUGAGGGGGCGAAUUUGUUUUAAGGAAACUAGGUGUAACACAGUCCUCGGUUUGAGAUUUCAUUUCCUGCAAUUUCAAUUGUUCAUUCUGUUAUUAUCCAAUUAGUUGUAUGACUGUAACUUGCUGUUAUAUAUAUCAUCUUACCAGACAAAAGGCAUAUACGGUAUUGAAAUCGAGAAUACCAGAUUCCUCAUUUUUCAUAAACUUACUGGAUUUCAGAAAAGUUUGGUCGACCGAACUGGUGAAACUCGGGAUUUUCCCUACAUUUAUUCAUUCGGUGUAUUACUAUUGGAACUAGUCACAGACAAGCUUUCGAUUGAGCUAAAACGUGGUCAGGAGGAACAUAUUACUGUUAGAUGGGUAUGACCCUCUCUCUAAUGAGCAAAAUUGUAGUGAAUGAUUUCAAAAUUGAACACACCCCAUGAAGUGGGGGAUGAAUUCUUAUUUUUAUUAAUAUGUCCUCAAUUUUCAUAUAUAGAUAGUGGCGAGACAUAAUAAAUCUGCCUGCUCUAAUACUACAUUGAAUUACUUCAUCUAAAGGCUUAAGUUAUUUGUUUAGAUUUAGUCUUCAACAUCUAAUUGGACGAUUUCUUGAACAAGGACAUGUGCCUCCACUAAUUUUAGAGGGGACAAAAUAGAAUAUUGGUUUAUGUUUUCUCUGGUUGAUUUGAAUUGACUCAAGUGCAGGUUGCGAAGAAGUUUCUUGAUGGAGAUGCAAUCUUAACUUUGGAUCCUAGGCUACAGAGGUCUCCUGCAAAUAACUUUAUAGGGGAAAAGAUUCUUGAAGUAGCCUUGCAAUGUUUGGCUCCUCAUUAACAUGACCGGCCUACCAUGAAGAAGUGUACGAAGAUUCUGUGGAGUAUUUGCAAGAAUUAUGAUGAAUUCUCAACUUCAGAUAUCCCUUCGCUUUCUUCAAAUGCUCGGGGAAGUAGCUCAAUCAGAGAAGAAUAAGCAAUUCGGUGCAAGUAUUUUCAUUCACGUUACUUGCUUCCAUUGAAAAUACAGAAAGAGUACUGAAGAUGGUAAACAAGCAUACAAUGUCGUAGUGGGAAGCGAAGAAAAGAGAGAACUUGAAGGGUGUUUGGCCAAUUGUAAAGAUGUUGAAGUGAUAUUUAGUUCAUGAUGUUUGUCUUUGUUCACGAAAUUAUUUCCUUUCGAUUUAAAACUACCG
rnacentral:lncRNA from 1 species